rnacentral:lncRNA from 1 species
UCUGGAGCUGUGACUUCAAAACAUCAGCCAAAAGAAAAUUUUCUUUGAUGGAAGUUCAAAGAAGUUGAUAGAUACAGGAAUCACAAUAGAGACCCUACAACCUC